GGUUAAGCGACUAAGCGUACACGGUGGAUGCCCUGGCAGUCAGAGGCGAUGAAGGACGUGCUAAUCUGCGAAAAGCGUCGGUAAGGUGAUAUGAACCGUUAUAGCCGGCGAUGUCCGAAUGGGGAAACCCAGUGUGAUUCGUCACACUAUCGUUAACUGAAUACAUAGGUUAACGAGGCGAACCGGGGGAACUGAAACAUCUAAGUACCCCGAGGAAAAGAAAUCAACCGAGAUUCCCCCAGUAGCGGCGAGCGAACGGGGAGCAGCCCAGAGUCUGAAUCAGCUUGUGUGUUAGUGGAACGGUCUGGAAAGUCCGACGGUACAGGGUGAUAGUCCCGUACACCAAAAUGCACAGGUUGUGAACUCGAAGAGUAGGGCGGGACACGUGGUAUCCUGUCUGAAUAUGGGGGGACCAUCCUCCAAGGCUAAAUACUCCUGACUGACCGAUAGUGAACCAGUACCGUGAGGGAAAGGCGAAAAGAACCCCGGCGAGGGGAGUGAAAAAGAACCUGAAACCGUGUACGUACAAGCAGUGGGAGCACCUUCGGGUGUGACUGCGUACCUUUUGUAUAAUGGGUCAGCGACUUAUAUUCUGUAGCAAGGUUAACCGUAUAGGGGAGCCGCAGGGAAACCGAGUCUUAACUGGGCGUUAAGUUGCAGGGUAUAGACCCGAAACCCGGUGAUCUAGCCAUGGGCAGGUUGAAGGUUGGGUAACACUAACUGGAGGACCGAACCGACUAAUGUUGAAAAAUUAGCGGAUGACUUGUGGCUGGGGGUGAAAGGCCAAUCAAACCGGGAGAUAGCUGGUUCUCCCCGAAAGCUAUUUAGGUAGCGCCUCGUGAAUUCAUCUUCGGGGGUAGAGCACUGUUUCGGCUAGGGGGUCAUCCCGACUUACCAACCCGAUGCAAACUACGAAUACCGAAGAAUGUUAUCACGGGAGACACACGGCGGGUGCUAACGUCCGUCGUGAAGAGGGAAACAACCCAGACCGCCAGCUAAGGUCCCAAAGUCAUGGUUAAGUGGGAAACGAUGUGGGAAGGCACAGACAGCCAGGAUGUUGGCUUAGAAGCAGCCAUCAUUUAAAGAAAGCGUAAUAGCUCACUGGUCGAGUCGGCCUGCGCGGAAGAUGUAACGGGGCUAAACCAUGCACCGAAGCUGCGGCAGCGACACUAUGUGUUGUUGGGUAGGGGAGCGUUCUGUAAGCCUGCGAAGGUGUGCUGUGAGGCAUGCUGGAGGUAUCAGAAGUGCGAAUGCUGACAUAAGUAACGAUAAAGCGGGUGAAAAGCCCGCUCGCCGGAAGACCAAGGGUUCCUGUCCAACGUUAAUCGGGGCAGGGUGAGUCGACCCCUAAGGCGAGGCCGAAAGGCGUAGUCGAUGGGAAACAGGUUAAUAUUCCUGUACUUGGUGUUACUGCGAAGGGGGGACGGAGAAGGCUAUGUUAGCCGGGCGACGGUUGUCCCGGUUUAAGCAUGUAGGCUGAUUGUCCAGGCAAAUCCGGAUAAUCAAGGCUGAGGUGUGAUGACGAGGCACUACGGUGCUGAAGUAACAAAUGCCCUGCUUCCAGGAAAAGCCUCUAAGCAUCAGGUAACAUUAAAUCGUACCCCAAACCGACACAGGUGGUCAGGUAGAGAAUACCAAGGCGCUUGAGAGAACUCGGGUGAAGGAACUAGGCAAAAUGGUGCCGUAACUUCGGGAGAAGGCACGCUGGUGUGUAGGUGAAGUCCCUGCGGAUGGAGCUGAGACCAGUCGAAGAUACCAGCUGGCUGCAACUGUUUAUUAAAAACACAGCACUGUGCAAACACGAAAGUGGACGUAUACGGUGUGACGCCUGCCCGGUGCCGGAAGGUUAAUUGAUGGGGUUAUCCGUAAGGAGAAGCUCUUGAUCGAAGCCCCGGUAAACGGCGGCCGUAACUAUAACGGUCCUAAGGUAGCGAAAUUCCUUGUCGGGUAAGUUCCGACCUGCACGAAUGGCGUAAUGAUGGCCAGGCUGUCUCCACCCGAGACUCAGUGAAAUUGAACUCGCUGUGAAGAUGCAGUGUACCCGCGGCAAGACGGAAAGACCCCGUGAACCUUUACUAUAGCUUGACACUGAACAUUGAGCCUUGAUGUGUAGGAUAGGUGGGAGGCUUUGAAGCGUGGACGCCAGUCUGCGUGGAGCCAACCUUGAAAUACCACCCUUUAAUGUUUGAUGUUCUAACGUUGGCCCCUUACCGGGGUUGCGGACAGUGUCUGGUGGGUAGUUUGACUGGGGCGGUCUCCUCCCAAAGCGUAACGGAGGAGCACGAAGGUUAGCUAAUCCUGGUCGGACAUCAGGAGGUUAGUGCAAUGGCAUAAGCUAGCUUGACUGCGAGCGUGACGGCGCGAGCAGGUGCGAAAGCAGGUCAUAGUGAUCCGGUGGUUCUGAAUGGAAGGGCCAUCGCUCAACGGAUAAAAGGUACUCCGGGGAUAACAGGCUGAUACCGCCCAAGAGUUCAUAUCGACGGCGGUGUUUGGCACCUCGAUGUCGGCUCAUCACAUCCUGGGGCUGAAGUAGGUCCCAAGGGUAUGGCUGUUCGCCAUUUAAAGUGGUACGCGAGCUGGGUUUAGAACGUCGUGAGACAGUUCGGUCCCUAUCUGCCGUGGGCGCUGGAGAAUUGAGGGGGGCUGCUCCUAGUACGAGAGGACCGGAGUGGACGCAUCACUGGUGUUCGGGUUGUCAUGCCAAUGGCACUGCCCGGUAGCUAAAUGCGGAAGAGAUAAGUGCUGAAAGCAUCUAAGCACGAAACUUGCCCCGAGAUGAGUUCUCCCUGAGACUUUAAGUCUCCUGAAGGAACGUUGAAGACGACGACGUUGAUAGGCCGGGUGUGUAAGCGCAGCGAUGCGUUGAGCUAACCGGUACUAAUGAACCGUGAGGCUUAACCUU
rnacentral:rRNA from 1 species